UAAUGUCAUGUUGCAAAGUGUAAACUAAAGUGCACACCAAAGUGUACACGUAGCAUGGUCCUUACCGAUUGAACUUUGCUAUUUGUACACUAAUUUUUGCCACGUUAUUUGACACUCGCAUUGUUGUCAAGUGUCAAUUAAAUAGGAAACCUCGUUGAAAUUUAGAUGUUCCAAUAGGGUAAUAUCAUGUGGCAGAGCGUAAACUUAAACACCUCGACCCGC
rnacentral:lncRNA from 1 species